CCUCACCCCAGGCAGCAGAUAACCAACGACUGACUCAGAGCAGCAAAAACUGGGACCAGCUGCAAAGCUCUACCUGAGUCGGAUUGGAACUGAAGCAGGUCCCUGAAGAGAUUAUGCCCUGCUUAACGCCUCCGCCUCCGAGUUUUCCUGCUUCCCUCCCCCAUUCUCCAGAGAGCAUUCUUCCACUGUUAACUGGAAGCAGUUUCUUGGGUCCUUCUUCAGACUCAAACCUGGCCAUCACCUCAACUCUGCAAUUUUUUUUUCCUGUGAAAGAAAUCCCUAGCUAAAGAUACAUGGUUAAAAAUAAAGGGGCUGCCAAGAUGGCUCAGCAGAGGGCAGUUGCUUUCAUGAUAAUGAGCUGAGUUUGCACCCAGGGUCCCACAUAAUCUAAGGAGAGGACCAAGAACUCAAGAAGAAGGAAGGUACUGCCGACUCUUGAACGUUAUCCUCUGAUCUCCACGUCUGCAAACCCCAUAUCCACAACAAUAACUUAAAAAUAAAGAACUAUGCAUAUUCAAUCUCCUUAA